rnacentral:rRNA from 1 species
UACGUAGGGUGCAAGCGUUAUCCGGAAUUAUUGGGCGUAAAGAGCUCGUAGGCGGUUUGUCGCGUCUGCUGUGAAAACCGGAGGCUCAACCUCCGGCCUGCAGUGGGUACGGGCAAACUAGAGUGCGGUAGAGGAGAUUGGAAUUCCUGGUGUAGCGGUGGAAUGCGCAGAUAUCAGGAGGAACACCGAUGGCGAAGGCAGAUCUCUGGGCCGUAACUGACGCUGAGGAGCGAAAGCGUGGGGAGCGAACAGG